rnacentral:rRNA from 1 species
CUUUUACAAUGAAGAGUUUGAUCCUGGCUCAGGAUGAACGCUAGCUACAGGCUUAACACAUGCAAGUCGAGGGGCAGCAUUUUAGUUUGCUUGCAAACUGAAGAUGGCGACCGGCGCACGGGUGAGUAACACGUAUCCAACCUGCCGAUAACUCUGGAAUAGCCUUUCGAAAGAAAGAUUAAUACCGGAUANNNNNNNNNNGGAAUAGCCUUUCGAAAGAAAGAUUAAUACCGGAUAGUAUACGAAUAUCGCAUGAUAUUUUUAUUAAAGAAUUUCGGUUAUCGAUGGGGAUGCGUUCCAUUAGUUUGUUGGCGGGGUAACGGCCCACCAAGACUACGAUGGAUAGGGGUUCUGAGAGGAAGGUCCCCCACAUUGGAACUGAGACACGGUCCAAACUCCUACGGGAGGCAGCAGUGAGGAAUAUUGGUCAAUGGGCGA